AAGUCGUAACAAGGUCUCCGUAGGUGAACCUGCGGAGGGAUCAUUAACGUGACCCGGGCCCUGCGGGAGCGCGUGCUUGCACGAAUUCCCGUAGCGCUACCGGGGGUAAAUCACACCCCAUGUCGUCUGACCAUGUUGCCUCGGGGGCGGCCCUGUCGCGGGGCCCCCGUCGGACUAAACCAAACCCUUGCGUAUCCAUGCAGUCUGAGUGGUUUAUGAAUAAAUCAAAA
rnacentral:misc_RNA from 1 species